AACGAACGCUGGCGGCAUGCCUAACACAUGCAAGUCGAACGAUCCCUUCGGGGAUAGUGGCGCACGGGUGCGUAACGCGUGGGAACCUGCCCUUAGGUUCGGAAUAACUCAGAGAAAUUUGAGCUAAUACCGGAUAAUGUCUUCGGACCAAAGAUUUAUCGCCUUUGGAUGGGCCCGCGUUGGAUUAGCUAGUUGGUGGGGUAAAGGCCUACCAAGGCGACGAUCCAUAGCUGGUCUGAGAGGAUGAUCAGCCACACUGGGACUGAGACACGGCCCAGACUCCUACGGGAGGCAGCAGUGGGGAAUAUUGGACAAGGGGCGAAAGCCUGAUCCAGCAAUGCCGCGUGAGUGAUGAAGGCCUUAGGGUUGUAAAGCUCUUUUACCCGGGGUGAUAAUGACAGUACCGGGAGAAUAAGCCCCGGCUAACUCCGUG
rnacentral:rRNA from 1 species